CCGACCGUGAGGUGGGAUCUGAAGGAAGCCGGCGGCAAAGUUCCGACCCGAGGACCACGAACCCAAGGUGAGGCUGUUGUAUCUGGGCGAGUCUCCAAGACAAGACAAAGCCCCAUACAGCCAAGGGAUACAGCAGUAAAUUGGGCGGGUACAUGGAAUGAAAGUUAUCGCU
rnacentral:ncRNA from 1 species